GCAUUUUUGUUGCACAGGUAUAUUUCACAUUUGGUAGCAGCACGGAUAAUUUGGGGACUUGGUGAGCUGCAUUGUUCGAGACGACCCGCAGCUAGAGUACAUGAAUGUGGAAGUUCUUUGGGGGUAAAUUUAUUAGACAAAGUGACUACAUUACAAUUAUUCUUGUAUUCCGUUUAGACUUUCAUUUCGGAUAGAUUUUAUUUUAUAUAUGUAUUUUAAUUUAUGGAGUUUGUAAUGAGAUAUUAUCUCAAAUAUAGUAUUAACUUUUUAGAAUUAUAUGAUCAUGGAUGAUAAUUUUAGGAC